rnacentral:rRNA from 1 species
AUGCAAGUGGAGCGGUAACACAAGGGACCUUGCUCCUGACGUGACGAGCGGCGGACGGGUGAGUAAUGCCUAGGGAUCUGCCCAGUCGAGGGGGAUAACAGUUGGAAACGACUGCUAAUACCGCAUACGCCCUACGGGGGAAAGGAGGGGACCUUCGGGCCUUCCGCGAUUGGAUGAACCUAGGUGGGAUUAGCUAGUUGGUGAGGUAAUGGCUCACCAAGGCGACAAUCCCUAGCUGUUCUGAGAGGAUGAUCAGCCACACUGGGACUGAGACACGGCCCAGACUCCUACGGGAGGCAGCAGUGGGGAAUAUUGCACAAUGGGGGAAACCCUGAUGCAGCCAUGCCGCGUGUGUGAAGAAGGCCUUCGGGUUGUAAAGCACUUUCAGUAGGGAGGAAAGGUGAUGUGUUAAUAGCACAUUGCUGUGACGUUACCUACAGAAGAAGGACCGGCUAACUCCGUGCCAGCAGCCGCGGUAAUACGGAGGGUCCGAGCGUUAAUCGGAAUUACUGGGCGUAAAGCGUGCGCAGGCGGUUUGUUAAGCCAGAUGUGAAAUCCCCGGGCUCAACCUGGGAAUUGCAUUUGGAACUGGCGAACUAGAGUCUUGUAGAGGGGGGUAGAAUUCCAGGUGUAGCGGUGAAAUGCGUAGAUAACUGGAGGAAUACCGGUGGCGAAGGCGGCCCCCUGGACAAAGACUGACGCACAUGGACGAAAGCGUGGGA